UGGCUGCAGCAAGGAAUAUUGUGCAAUGGGCGAAAGCCUGACACAGCGACGCCGCGUGGGGGAUGAAGGCUCUUGGGUUGUAAACCCCUUUUCUCAGGGAGGAAUAAUGACAGUACCUGAGGAAUAAGCCACGGCUAACUACGUGCCAGCAGCCGCGGUAAAACGUAGAUGGCGAGCGUUAUCCGGAUUUAUUGGGCGUAAAGAGGGCGCAGGCGGCCUUUCAAGUCGGAUGUAAAAUCUCCCAGCUUAACUGGGAGGGAUCAUUCGAUACUGCUAAGCUAGAGGACAACAAGGGGAGGUAGAAUUCCCGGUGUAGUGGUGAAAUGCGUAGAUAUCGGGAGGAAUACCAGUGGCGAAGGCGGCCUCCUGGGUUGUUACUGACGCUUAAGCCCGAAGGCGUGGGGAGCGAACAGGAUUAGAUACCCGUGUAGUC
rnacentral:rRNA from 1 species